UGCUCCAUGGUCCCCACUGUGAAGGGUUGUACUCUCAAAUUGUGAGCCAAAAGAAACCCUUCCUUCCUUAAGUUGCUAGCCAUUGAGUAUUUGAUCAUAUUAACAGAAAACCAAUGAGUACAGAGCCCAUAAAAGUGACACCAUUCAGAAGAAGAGGUGUUUCCUUGGCUUACAGAGCAACUUCAACACUAAGUAGCCACCGAGGUAUUGCUAAGCAGCCACUCAGGUGCUAUAUGAGAAAUAGAGCUGAAAGCCAAGCCCCUGACCUUUGGGAGUAUUAUAGUCUCAUCGUGAAAAUGACAGCAGAUCACUUUGAAGGCCAGCAUCAGUAGACACCUACUUGGCAAAGGGAUAAGAGAAGGAGCAUAGAAUUGGAAAAGUCCGUGUUCUUCAUGUACACUGGUCCUUGACAGCAAAGCCUAAGAAGGAUUUAGUGUAGGUAGUAUGUUGGUUGGGCCAGGGUAGCUCCUGAUAGACAGAAAGGAAGAAAAUCCAAUAAAAAAAAAAAAA
rnacentral:lncRNA from 1 species